GCCCAGCCCAGCAGGGCUGGCAGGAGCUGCUGGUGUGGCUGCUCUUUGGGUUCUCAGCUGUGGCUGUGGGGUGGUGACAUCGUGUUCCUGCCUGUGCUCCAGGGCAGCCAAAACCCCAGCACAGCCCCUGGGCCUUUGUGGGAGCCUGAGCUAUUGUAGUACUGGGGAUGGGGGUUUGGGUUUUUGUUUCCCUAAAAGUAGAACCAUUGGGGGGGAUCUCUUAUCUCACAGUUGUUGUUGUUUUGAUAUCUUAAUUAAUUACAGCUUUAGAAGAAAACCUUGUGUAACUUAGGAACUGACUUGCACUGGUUACACUGAAAGUGCCAAGGAGUUGUAGUGUCCACUGGAUUGUUUGUAUUGAAGCAGUUUGGUGUUUACAGAGGGAUAAUAACUCCUGUCAGCAGCAAGGUCCUGACUGAAGUGGCAGCUGCAGUUGUUCCUGUGGUGUGGGCCAGUGGAAUUCCAAGAAAAUGGACAAGGACAGAACCUGUAAGAAUUACCCCUAAGCCAGAGUCUCUCCUGGUAAGGCAAACCCAGUAUCCUUUAAAAUUAGGAAGCCAAGCUGGAUUGGUUGCAGUAACAGCUGAAUUUGCUGAUCAUGGUUUGAUAGUAGAAUGUGAAUGGAAGGACCUGUAAAGAAAGGAAAUGGGAAAGAUGAUGGAUUGCUGGGAGCAGGGUCUGGCAGACAGUGGCACUGGAUGUUUGGUUGUGUUUGGGAAUGAGCAGCUUGACCUGCCCAGGGUUGUCUGUGCUGGGGGUGGGUUUGGGUCCUGUGUGGCCACAGGUCUGUGCAGCAGCUGGAGCCUGGGCAGGUCUGGGGGCUGUGGUGUGCCAGGCUGCUGAGUGUGUUGUCCCUGUUUCCUUGGAGUGUCCCAGUGUCCCUGCUUGGCUGUUUGUUGCCCUGCAGGCAGGAGAGCCCAGGCCUGAGCUGGCUGAGUGUUGGUGUGAGCCAGAGUGGGUGUCCCUGCCCUCGGACCAGUCCCCAGAGCUGCCUUUGGCAUCCCCUGCUGAAGGGUGGGAGCUGCCCAGAGCCAGUAGCAUCCAGCUGGAGGAUCCAGGAGGAUGCAGCUCUGCUUUGCUGGGAGCUUGUCCAGGAGAUGGAAUUCCAGUGCUACAGUCUGGGUGGGUCAUGGUGCUCCCAAAAGGAGCCUUUGUGCCUUCAGGGCAGGUUCUGGUGCCCCUGGAGCUGUUGGGAGAAGCGGAGGGUUGGCAGUGAGAGGCCUGGAAUGAUGUUGUGGCACAGAAGAAAUGAGCAGUGAUGGUCCAACUGGCUGUUUUCUCUGGAAUGUAAUGGUAAGAGCUGCAGGAGUGCCAGGUGUGUGUUCCAGUCCCCAGCAUUUGGUUUGCACAUGUCCUGGUCAGACACAGGUACAACUUCCUCAGUCAUUUAACCCAAUAGAGGGAGAAUGAAGGACUGGCAGUGUUAAGGUGAUUGGUGUGACAGGGGUUAAACUGGGAAAACAUUGGGGAAUUCCUCAGUUUGUCUCUUUGCCAAACUCACCCAAACCUGUGCUAGGAAGAGAUGGACUGGAAAAGUUGAGGCAGAAAUGAAAUGGAAAACUGGGGUUGUUGAAACUGUAAUUGCUGAAACUAAAUGUGUCAAAGCAGCAGCUCUUGUUGUGCAGGGAAUAACUCCUGUCAGCAGCAAGGUCCUGACUGAAGUGGCAGCUGCAGUUGUUCCUGUGGUGUGGGCCAGUGGAAUUGCAGGAGAGUGGAAGAGGGCAGAACCUGUAGGUAUUACCCCUGAUGUGGGAUCUCUCCUGGACGUGAAUGCAAGAACCUGCCAAGAAACCAAUGGCCAAG